AGGAAGUCUCCACUGUCUCUUUUCUCACCAAAGGCAGGAACUGUCAGCAUUUGUGACCUCAAGCUAGCCCAUGUUCUGAUAUUAUGGCACGCAUUCCCGGGGAGGAUUAUUUGGAAGGAUUUUCGCGAAGAGAAACAUUUCAGCUGCUUUUUACAAGCACUGAUUGCCCAGGACAAGAGAAAACUCCAAGUAUUUUUUGCAAGGAAAAGAUGAUGAUACUGAUGAUGAUGGUGAUGGUGGUGGUGGUACUGAUUAGAGUGCUGAUGGUAGUAGUCCUGAUUGAAUAUGUCCCUGCAGUGGAGGACUAUGUCUUUGAAGAUAAAAUGCCACGAUUAAUUCUCUGACACGUUCAGGAUUGGCCUUAUUAGGAGAUAAAAGAUUAUUACCAAUAUUUCACUGCUAUAAUUAACUCUUGUAUUAUUUGGGACAUACUUGUACAAAAAUAUUUAUUGUUUACCUGAAAUUACAAUUUAAAUAAAUGUUUUGUAUUUUACCUGUUAAUCUUAGACUAUGAAAGGAGAGUUCUUAGGGAGAGUUAUGGGAAGGUUAUCUUCUCUGUCCUUGUCUCACCACUGUAGGUCCACAACCUGGCAUUUAGUGGUAGGCCUGGAGCUGCUCUUGGUCAACAAGGUCAGAAGUUAGGAAGAAGAGCUAUAUGUCAAGCAGAAGAGAGUGAGAAGAAACAGGAACCCACUUCUGCAUCUGUCUAUAGCGACAUCUGAUUAUAACAACCUACAAAAGAUAAUGGCUGCUGCUUCAUUUCCAACCCUCCAAAUCUCAAGCAAGUAUAUCUCUGGGACAACUGUAACCUAUAACUCUAUAGGGAAGAGGUUUCUGAGAACUGUAUGUCACAGCUUAAACACAUGAAGACAAUACAAACCAUCCUGAUGAUGAUGACGGUUGAUGAUAACGAAGAUAAUAAUAUGAGUGUUUUCUCAAGGAAGGCUACUUUUUGAUGGCAGUUGUGGGAGACAUUAGAGAAGUUUCGUUUUUACCUAAAUGGUUGAUAAAUAAAUUACUGUGUGACAGUAAAUUAUUGUGUGACAGAGUUCAAGUUAUAUGAUAUAGUAGAUUCACAUUAUGCCAAAAACUGUAAGACUCCCAGACACAGCCCAGGAAUUCAUUCUGAGAGUUUUCAUAGGCUUCUGAAUGUGCUACCAUCUAUGCUCUUAAUUUAAACCUUGAUUUGCUGUGUAGACAAUAGCCUAUUCUGAAAACAACGCUAAAUGCUGCAGUGCAGGACUAUCUGUUGUGGAUAAAGUAACAAAAUUACAUUUUCAACCCAUUAUGGUCAUCCUCUUGUUUGGAAGAUGUAGAUUGUUACCAAUAUUUAACUCUUAUAAUUAACUUGAAUAAAUUUCCUUACAAAAUAAAUAUGUACACUUGUAAAUAUUCCAUUAUAGUAUCUUUCUUAGUGUAGAUAUCUUGGAGUAAAAGAAAAAUAUUUAGAAAACAAAGUAACAAUUUUUGAAGCAAAGUAUUAUCAAAUUUUUCUCCAGAUGGGUAUUACCAAUUACACAUCCACCAGCCCAGCAAUGUGAAAAUAUCAUCUCCCACACCCCCAUCCACACCCACGCUGACAAUUAUUAUUAAAAACUAAUUUUUACCAACUUGAGAAGGAAACAGCACUAUUUUAAUUUUUUUCUGUGGUGGAUUCAUAUGUUUACUAGAUAUGUAUAUGUAUCCUUCUAUGAGAUACUUGUUAGGUUAUUUCCCAUUUCUCUGUUGUGGCAUUCGUUUGUUUGUCUUGUUAAUAACGCUCCCGAAGUUUUAUGUCAGUCUUUUCAUUUGUUUAUACUAUUUUAUGGCAAAGGAUUUUCUUAAUUAAGUGGUUGUAGUCA
rnacentral:lncRNA from 10 species